AGCGAACGCUGGCGGCAGGCCUAACACAUGCAAGUCGAACGAAGUCUUCGGACUUAGUGGCGGACGGGUGAGUAACACGUGGGAACGUGCCUUUAGGUUCGGAAUAACUCAGGGAAACUUGUGCUAAUACCGAAUGUGCCCUUCGGGGGAAAGAUUUGUCGCCUUUAGAGCGGCCCGCGUCUGAUUAGCUAGUUGGUGAGGUAAAGGCUCACCAAGGCGGCGAUCAGUAGCUGGUCUGAGAGGAUGAUCAGCCACAUUGGGACUGAGACACGGCCCAAACUCCUACGGGAGGCAGCAGUGGGGAAUCUUGCGCAAUGGGCGAAAGCCUGACGCAGCCAUGCCGCGUGGAUGAUGAAGGUCUUAGGAUUGUAAAAUCCUUUCACCGGUGAAGAUAAUGACUGUAGCCGGAGAAGAAGCCCCGGCUAACUUCGUGCCAGCCGCCGCCGUAACAC
rnacentral:rRNA from 1 species